GUGUUUAAGAUAGAAGUGCUAAUGAAUGGAAGAAAACAUUUUGUUGAAAAGAGAUACAGCGAAUUUCAUGCUUUGCACAAAAAGCUUAAGAAAUGUAUAAAAACUCCAGAAAUCCCUUCUAAACAUGUUAGGAACUGGGUCCCCAAAGUCUUGGAACAGCGACGACAAGGCUUGGAAACAUACUUACAGAGAAAUGUGGGUGCUUAAUCAAGAAAAAUAAUUUCUUCUGUUGAUUUGGCUUAUUUGGAGAAAAGAUAAUUGUGUAAAGGCUGUCAUUUUAGAAAAUGAAGAACUUCCCAAACUGUUUCUUGAUUUCCUAAAUGUGCGACACUUGCCCUCUCUACCAAAGGCAGAAAGUUGUGGAUCUUUUGAUGAAACAGAGUCUGAAGAGUCAAGCAAACUGUCCCACCAGCCUGUGCUGCUGUUCCUCAGGGAUCCAUAUGUCUUGCCUGCAGCCAGCGAUUUUCCAAAUGUGGUUAUUGAAGGAGUCCUCCAUGGGAUAUUUUACCCUCAUCUACAGCCCAGGUAGAAAUCCUACAUGGCUAAAAGAAGCA
rnacentral:lncRNA from 1 species